GCGGAUAUGGCGGAACUGGGAGACGCACUGGAUUUAGGUUCCAGCGCCGCGAGGCGUGGGGGUUCGACUCCCUCUAUCCGCACCA
rnacentral:tRNA from 1 species